ACAACUUUGCAAACCUUGGAGUCUCUCUCAAAGUAAAGAUUGAUUUCUUGCUGAACUCUAAGCCCAGUCUGAACAUUUCAAUUCUUACUAACUUCUUUGAGACUUUCCCUUCUGAAAGCCCUAUCUUCUCUUGGUUUCUGUGAGAGCACUUUUUCCUGGUUCCUCUCUUGGGCUGCAGGAGCAGCUCCCUGGACUGAAGAAACAGCACCCAGGGAAGUCCAUAAGCCUCUGAGGAGUGAGGCCAGCAAUGGCUGAAAUGUGGUGGAAGAGUGAGGGUGGAGAACAUGCCCUAAGAGAAUAAAUAGCUUGUUUGAUGGCCGUUGCUUCUUUGUCAUCAGUGGCUGUGCAGUUGACAACCAAACUCUACAAAGUCAUUCUUCAGAAUGAGAAAAGCUGCAGUGAUCUAGAAGGAAGGCCACUUCUGGUUCCAUUCAGAGCCUCAGCUGGCAACACCUAGCGUUAUCACCUGACAGCAGUCACCUUGCAGGACAGCAACUACAGAACCCGAAGCAAAGACAGGGCCAGCGGUGGGUCCUAGCCUGGCAGGCGGCAUCCCAUGUUACCACUUUGUUCCUCUGACAGUUUUAACCCUCCCUCUGCCACUGGAAAGCCUGCUGCAUCCUCCACACUUAUUCUGUCUCCCUGAACCGAAUCAACAGGGACAAUCAGGUCAGAGUCACCUUGAGGGACAUUACCCCAUUUACAGACCAUCCAGGAUGACUUGUCUCUCCUCUUCCUUUGGCUACAUCAGUCUGAACUGAGAUUAGAGCAUUACACAAUGUCUGCCCACUUUAUUGUUCAACAAAUUGUCUGCUUUCAAGAGCAAAGUACCUGCCCAGCACCAUGCAGCUACUGGAGACCUAGUGAGGAGUAGGACAGACGUGGCCCUCUGGGAGCUGGUAUCCCAGGGCAGGGGACAGACAAAGGAGCACACCAAUAAAUAAAUAAGUCAUGGCAAUUUGUGAGAAGAGCUUAAGAAGGCAACAACUAGAAUGCAGUGGAAGGUUAUAAUGGGGGCAGAGUCACAGAAGGUCAAGAGAGGUCAUGGAAAGUCAAGAAGAUAACGCAAUAGUCUAUCCUGUAAAGAAGACAUUUAAAUUGAACUAUUGUGGAAGACAUGAAGACAACUGUGGAAAGAACUGAGUGAAGAAGAUUUUGAGAAAAAAGACAGAGUAAUGACUUUAAGGGACAGAAAAGAGCUUGGGAUGGGCAGAAGACAUUGAACAGACAUUUCUCCGAAGACCUACGCAUGGCCAACAACCACAGGAAAAAUGCUCCACAGCACUUGUCAUCAGGGAAAUACAAAUCAAAACCACAAUGAGA